GUUGAUUCUGUCAAAAGUUCCAUAAAAAAACAGGCAGUUUGGUGGGUGGACUGCCCUACUUCCCAGGAUCCCCAGCGACCUGCCUGGCAAGAUACCCAGCUCCCAGGGAUCCCAGACUGCUGGCUGCCCAGUCAGUUCCAGAGAGAUGAACGUUUUACACACUGAUGAAGAGUCAACAAAGUGAAAGAAAGUGAGCAAUGUUCCAGAGAGCUGGUACAGCAGUAGCAAAUGGCUGAUUUUCUGCAAAAGAGAUGAAGUUGGGGGACUAAGAAGAGGCAAAAGUUGGUAGAAUGGAGGGAUCAAGCAUGGAUAGAGAUAUAUGAGGUCAUAGAUUAUAUUGGUAUACGCUA